rfam:Ixodes scapularis strain Wikel colony gcontig_1108379099424, whole genome shotgun sequence.
GCAGUCGUGGCCGAGGUUAAGGCGAUGGAACAGAAAUCCAUUGGGGUCUCCCCGCACAGGUUCGAAUCCUGUCGACUGCG